ensembl:misc_RNA Metazoa_SRP Metazoan signal recognition particle RNA
GCCGGGUGUGGUGGUGUGCACCUGUAGUCCCAGCUGCUCGGGAGGCUGAGGCAGUAGAAUCGCUUGAACCCAGGAGACAGAGGUUGCAGCAGUGAGCCAAGAUCACGCCACUGCACUCCAGCCUGGGUGACAGAGCGAGAUUCUGUCUCAA